UACGUAGGGUGCGAGCGUUGUCCGGAAUUACUGGGCGUAAGGAGCUCGUAGGUGGUUUGUCGCGUUGUUCGUGAAAACCGGGGGCUUAACCCUCGGCGUGCGGGCGAUACGGGCAGACUUGAGUACUGCAGGGGAGACUGGAAUUCCUGGUGUAGCGGUGGAAUGCGCAGAUAUCAGGAGGAACACCGGUGGCGAAGGCGGGUCUCUGGGCAGUAACUGACGCUGAGGAGCGAAAGCGUGGGGAGCGAACAGG
rnacentral:rRNA from 1 species